rnacentral:rRNA from 1 species
AUUGCACGCUGGCGGAAUGCUUUACACAUGCAAGUCGAACGGCAGCCCGGGUGCUUGCACCUGGUGGCGAGUGGCGAACGGGUGAGUAAUACAUCGGAACGUACCCAGUCGUGGGGGAUAACGUAGAGAAAGCUACGCUAAUACAGCAUACGAUCUACGGACGAAACCGGGUGUUCGCCAGACCUCGCGCGAUUGGAGCGGCCGAUAUCAGAUUAGGUUGUUGGUGGGGUAAAGGCUCACCAAGCCAACGAUCUGUAGCUGGUCUGAGAGGACGACCAGCCACACUGGAACUGAGACACGGUCCAGACUCCUACGGGAGGCAGCAGUGGGGAAUUUUGGACAAUGGACGCAAGUCUGAUCCAGCCAUUCCGCGUGCAGGAUGAAGGCCCUCGGGUUGUAAACUGCUGUUGUACGGAACGAAAAGGUCUCCAUGAAUACUGGGGGCUCAUGACGGUACCGUAAGAAUAAGCACCGGCUAACUACGUGCCAGCCGCCGCCGUAA